GAAGCUUGACAGUACGCUGAAUGAAUUGAACUGAAGAUCAGUGAGAUAUAUAUAGAAAAACUGAUCCGGAUAUCACCCUAAUGCAUCCCUUUUGUCUUCAUGGUAGGUGUCCUGUCAGCAAUGUCAAUUAACCAUAUUCAGUAGCACUACUAACCGCCCAUGCGGUCCACACACACACACACACCUCUGGUAAUUUACUACAAGAACAGUUAGUUUACUGUAGCAAUGAUGCAUCAUCUCAAAAUACAUUAUGUACCUGAAAUAUGUGCUGCAGGGUAAUGUCCGAUACACUAGGCCAUUGUGUCUGAUCAACAAACGUUGCAAACACCAAAGGGACCCGAAAUGUCUGCGAAAAAAUACAAGUGGCAACAUCAUAACCAGAUAGUACUGAAAAGGCAUUCGUUGUUAACAAUACAAAUCAGUAUUUUUUUUUUUUUUGGGGGGGGGGGGGGGGGGGCGACACAGUAAAAUGAAUCCAUCAAUAAUUUCCUUUGUUUCUUUUAGUUCACAGUCACACAGUAAAGAGGAGGGAACGAAUGAUGGCAACUAAGUUGUUAGCUCCGAAUCAUUCAAGCUAAACUUGUUUGAAGUUCAGAGAGUUGGAGCAUGAAGAACACAGCAAAGUCUGGACCUAGCUUAAGAGAGGCAAGUAGCAAUGUAGCAUUCCACUAUUACCUACAGAAAGGUUAUGCCUCAGGCUCUCAUCACAUAGCCCAGACCCAUGGUUUGGAAAUUCAAGGAACUGCCUGAUUGAAGGAACUGGUUUGGGUUACUGGAUCAUUUGAUUCGAUUGCACCAAAAUUCUGCCAAAUUCCGGAUGUAUACUGACGCAAUGAUCCAAAUCCAAACGAGCAUCAGAACUAAUGGAAUGAGAGAGGGCGGAAUUGCGAGAGGCUUACCGAGGGGAGGCUCCUGGUGCGCCAGCGAAUGGGAUCGUCUCCGGCCGUCCAGCGGCGCGCCUGGUGCGCGACGGCAGCGGCGC
rnacentral:lncRNA from 1 species